AGAUCCUGAAGAUAGAAAAGGAACAUCAGAAAAAUCAGAUAUUUAUGCCUUCGGUGUUGUACUUUUAGAACUGAUUACCGGCAUAGAUUCCAGGAAGAAAGGCGCUAAUAAUAUUAUUAACGGGAUAAAGACUCUAAUGAGACCAGCAAUGAAAAGAGAAUAUACUACUAUUUUUGAUCCUACAUUGCAAGGUAAUUAUAAUAGAAUAGAAAUGGAUCGAAUGCUUUAUUGUGCCGCUGCUUGUGUUUAUAAACCUUCGGCAUUUCGUCCGCAGAUAAAGAAGAUAGUUGGAGUUCUUGAAGGAAGUAUUCCCUGGAAGGAUAUAUGGGAUGAGAGUGACGAUCAAAUCUUAUCGGAUGCUAU